rnacentral:rRNA from 1 species
UACAGAGGGGGCCAGCGUUAUUCGGAAUUAUUGGGCGUAAAGGGCGCGUAGGCGGCCCUGCGUGUCUUCCGUGAAAUCCCUCGGCUUAACUGAGGACGUGCGGAAGAAACUGCAGGGCUCGAGUCCGGGAGAGGAGGGUGGAAUUCCCAGUGUAGCGGUGAAAUGCGUAGAUAUUGGGAGGAACACCGGUGGCGAAGGCGGCCCUCUGGACCGGUACUGACGCUGAUGCGCGAAAGCGUGGGGAGCAAACAGG